rnacentral:tmRNA from 1 species
GGGGCUGACUUGGAUUUCGACAGAUUUCUUGUCGCACAGAUAGCAUGCCAAGCGCUGCUUGUAAAACAGCAACAAAAAUAACUGUAAACAACGCAGAUUACGCUCCAGCUUACGCUAAAGUCGCGUGAGUUAAUCUCCUUUUGGAGCUGGACUGAUUAGAAUUUCUAGCGUUUUAAUCACUCCAUAACCUUAAGCUAGACGCUUUUAAAAGGUGGUUCGCCUUUUAAACUAAGAAACAAGAACUCUUGAAACUAUCUCAAGGUUUUAGAAAGUUGGACCAGAGCUAGUUUUAAGGCUAAAAACUAACCAAUUUUCUAAGCAUUGUAGAAGUUUGUGUUUAGGACAAGAUUUUUGGACUGGGGUUCGAUUCCCCACAGCUCCACCA